rnacentral:rRNA from 1 species
AUUGAACGCUGGCGGCAUGCCUUACACAUGCAAGUCGAACGGUAACAGGUCUUCGGAUGCUGACGAGUGGCGAACGGGUGAGUAAUGCAUCGGAACGUGCCCAGUUGUGGGGGAUAACUGCUCGAAAGAGCAGCUAAUACCGCAUACGACCUGAGGGUGAAAGCGGGGGAUCGCAAGACCUCGCACAAUUGGAGCGGCCGAUGUCAGAUUAGGUAGUUGGUGGGGUAAAGGCCUACCAGGCCGACGAUCUGGAGUUGGUCUGAGAGGACGACCCGCCUAUCUGGGGCUUGGGCACGGCCCAGAGGCCUUCGAGAGUUAGCAGUGGGGAACUAUUCAGAAUGGGCGCAAGCCUGGUCCGACAUUGCGGCGCGCAAGAAGAAGGCCUUCGGGGUUUAAACUGCUUUUGUCAGGGAAGAAAACCUCUGGGUGAAUACCCCGGGGGGAUGACUGUAACUGAAGAAUAAGCACCGGUUAACUACGUACCAGCCGCCGCGGUAAAAC